GACGAACGCUGGCGGCGUGCUUAACACAUGCAAGUCGAACGGAAAGGCCUCUUUCGGGGGGUACUCGAGUGGCGAACGGGUGAGUAACACGUGAGUAACCUGCCCUUGACUUUGGGAUAACUUCAGGAAACUGGGGCUAAUACCGGAUAGGAGCUCCUGCUGCAUGGUGGGGGUUGGAAAGAUUCGGCGGUUGGGGAUGGACUCGCGGCUUAUCAGCUUGUUGGUGGGGUAGUGGCUUACCAAGGCUUUGACGGGUAGCCGGCCUGAGAGGGUGACCGGCCACAUUGGGACUGAGAUACGGCCCAGACUCCUACGGGAGGCAGCAGUGGGGAAUAUUGCACAAUGGGUGGAAGCCUGAUGCAGCAACGCCGUGUGCGGGAUGACGGCCUUCGGGUUGUAAACCGCUUUCGCUCAUGACGAAGCUUUGUGUGACGGUAGUGGGUAAAGAAGCACCGGCUAACUACGUG
rnacentral:rRNA from 1 species